GAUGAACGCUGGCGGCGUGCCUAAUACAUGCAAGUCGAGCGAACAGACGAGGAGCUUGCUCCUCUGACGUUAGCGGCGGACGGGUGAGUAACACGUGGAUAACCUACCUAUAAGACUGGGAUAACUUCGGGAAACCGGAGCUAAUACCGGAUAAUAUAUUGAACCGCAUGGUUCAAUAGUGAAAGACGGUUUUGCUGUCACUUAUAGAUGGAUCCGCGCCGCAUUAGCUAGUUGGUAAGGUAACGGCUUACCAAGGCAACGAUGCGUAGCCGACCUGAGAGGGUGAUCGGCCACACUGGAACUGGGACACGGUCCAGACUCCUACGGGAGGCAGCAGUAGGGAAUCGUCCGCAAAGGGCGAAAGCCUGACGGAGCAACGCCGCGUGAGUGAUGAAGGUCUUCGGAUCGUAAAACUCUGUUAUUAGGGAAGAACAAAUGUGUAAGUAACUAUGCACGUCUUGACGGUACCUAAUCAGAAAGCCACGGCUAACUACGUG
rnacentral:rRNA from 1 species